rnacentral:rRNA from 1 species
GACGAACGCUGGCGGCGUGCUUAACACAUGCAAGUCGAACGGAAAGGCCCUGCUUUUGUGGGGUGCUCGAGUGGCGAACGGGUGAGUAACACGUGAGUAACCUGCCCUUGACUUUGGGAUAACUUCAGGAAACUGGGGCUAAUACCGGAUAGGAGCUCCUGCUGCAUGGUGGGGGUUGGAAAGUUUCGGCGGUUGGGGAUGGACUCGCGGCUUAUCAGCUUGUUGGUGGGGUAGUGGAUUACCAAGGCUUUGACGGGUAGCCGGCCUGAGAGGGUGACCGGACACAUUGGGACUGAGAUACGGCACAGACUCCUACGGGAGGCAGCAGUGGGGAAUAGUGCACAAUGGGCGGAAGCCUGAUGCAGCAACGCCGCGUGCGGGAUGACGGCCUUCGGGUUGUAAACCGCUUUCGCCUGUGACGAAGCGUGAGUGACGGUAAUGGGUAAAGAAGCACCGGCUAACUACGUG